UUAGACGAUAAGAGGAACCAAAAAAAUUAAUUUACGAUAUAAUAGAAAAAUCUUAACCUACUAUCUCUGUCUACUAUAAUUAGUAAUGAUUAUUGGAUAGGGUGCAUCCGUAGAUGCUAGGAUAAGUUGACAUUAUACCCUCCCCUCCACUCCUCUAAAUAAGGUAGUGGGUGGUCACAUCAUUCGGAAGAAAGGUGUAUCCUCCUACGGUUCGUAGGAGGAGAGGGUUGUGUUCUGAAUUCUAUUACUCUCGAUUAUUAUUCCCUUGAUCAUUUAUUAUUUAAUUAUUAGUGUUACGGAUAUUAAACUCAGUUAAUAUAACUUUUAGAACAUUAUAUUAGCUUAUUAAUAUCUUUUUAUAGAUAAAAUUGAAGAAAUUUAUUUUUAUUUGUAAAGCACAAGUCUUAAAUUAAUAAUUGAUUAUUACAGUAAUAAAGUCAGCCAUGAUAAAUUAUAAUAGUUUGGUGUCACAGAAUCGGAGGCCUCGACUGUUUACUAAAAACACAAGAAUGUGCAAUGAUAAAAGUCAUAGUAUACGUUCUGAAAUUUGCUCGAUGCCAUUAAUAUAAAAGAGGUAAUAGGUAACUGUUACUAAUUGAAAAUCUGGUUAAUAGCGGUCUUAACUAUGAGGAUCCUAAGGUAGCGAAAUAAAUUGGCCAUUAAAUGUGGUCCGGUAUCAAUAAUGUAACGAAGGUCUCACUGUCUCUACAACUUGCUCAGUGAAAUUGAAUUACCCGUGCAGAUGCGGGUUACCCCCAGUGGGACGGGAG
rnacentral:rRNA from 1 species